rnacentral:lncRNA from 1 species
AAGAAUCUGGUGUGUCCUGUGUUUAUUUCCCGCGGGACGGGGAUAAGCUCGGGAUACUUGGUGCUAGAAACCCGGGAAAAAACGCCUUAACAACGCCGGCACCAGAGGAGACCCUCUGACCAACCGGAGCAGGUUCAGAACCACGGUGGAUUUUGGAAUUCCGAGAGCAUGCUGAAUCCUUUUUUGGAGCAUCAAGGCUUAUGUUGAUGUUGUUGGUCCUUUUGGAGCCGAAUUUUG